rnacentral:tRNA from 1 species
GGCGCUGUAGCUGAGCGGUAAAGCGCUUGGCUUCCGAACCGGGGGUCCCGGGUUCGAAUCCUGGUGAAGACU